AACGAACGCUGGCGGCAUGCCUAACACAUGCAAGUCGAACGAGACCUUCGGGUCUAGUGGCGCACGGGUGCGUAACGCGUGGGAACCUGCCCUUAGGUUCGGAAUAACUCCCCGAAAGGGGUGCUAAUACCGGAUAAUGUCUUCGGACCAAAGAUUUAUCGCCUUUGGAUGGGCCCGCGUUGGAUUAGCUAGUUGGUAGGGUAAAAGCCUACCAAGGCGACGAUCCAUAGCUGGUCUGAGAGGAUGAUCAGCCACACUGGGACUGAGACACGGUCCAGACUCCUACGGGAGGCAGCAGUGGGGAAUAUUGGACAAUGGGCGAAAGCCUGAUCCAGCAAGGCCGCGUGAGUGAUGAAGGCCUUAGGGUUGUAAAGCUCUUUUACCCGGGAUGAUAAUGACAGGACCGGGAGAAUAAGCUCCGGCUAACUCCGU
rnacentral:rRNA from 1 species